UGCCUCAUCGCCUCAACUUUUAAUAAAUUACUCUCUCUUUCUCUCUCUCUCUCUCUCUCUCUCUCUCUCUCUCUCUCUCUCUCUCUCUCUCUCUCUCUCUCUCUCUCUCUCUCUCUCUCUCUCUCUCUCUCUCUCUCUCUCUCUCUCUCUCUCUUUUUUUUUUUUUUUGAAAGAAAUGUAAAAUUCAUUAAGAAAAAUUUACUGUUACAAAAAAACCUGGUCACCAAGUCUAUCGGACAUGUAUAAGCGAGGCUUCCGCGAGGUUAAGGCGUAGCCCAGUUUGGUGUGUCUCGAAAUGUCUUGGCCAUUUUAAGAAAAUCCAUACUCUUCCCAGGAGUCGAUGGCCUUAGUUCGUGGAAUGGAGGGAGAAGUUGGCUCACGGAUACCCUUUGUGUGGCUAGUAGUCGGGGAACUCCUCCUCACGGAGACUCUUCUCGCAAAGUUGUUGAUUUUUUUUUAAGGCAAAGACACCUUCAACUUCUUCUUCACUGGACGACGACCACCUUUAGCCAUGUGGGGAGCAAAAUCGAAGUCAUCAUCGUCGAUGACUGGGCAUUACUAGCCUUAUUAACAACUGAUUUAUGAUCCAUUUUUGAAGUUUUUUUUGGCGAUGAAGAUGGAGAAGCAGAAGAUGGUAUAUUAGAAAAAACUGAUAUAGGAGACAGUUGGAAGAAGAAGAUGGCAAAGGUUAUGGCUGGGAGGUAGUUUUGUGAGUUUUGAACGUGGAUUUCAAAAGGGUAUUGGCUGGAAGAUGGUAUGUGUAAGUGAUAUUUUGGUAAAUAAAAGUUCAUUAAAGAUAAAAUUAUUUCUCACCCCUUAUAGAUGUAUUUUUGUAAAUAAAGUGUCAAUUUGUAUUUUUCAUGUAAUAAUUCCAUAAUUAAACAUAUUAUUUUAUUUGCAUUAAAUAUUUAAUAUGUUUAUUGCUCA